rnacentral:rRNA from 1 species
AGUGAACGCUGGCGGUAGGCCUAACACAUGCAAGUCGAACGGCAGCACAGUAAGAGCUUGCUCUUACGGUUGGCGAGUGGCGGACGGGUGAGGAAUACAUCGGAAUCUACUUUUUCGUGGGGGAUAACGUAGGGAAACUUACGCUAAUACCGCAUACGACCUACGGGUGAAAGCAGGGGAUCUUCGGAUUUUGCGCGAUUCAAUUAGCCGAUGUCGGAUUAGCUAGUUGGCGGGGUAAAGGCCCACCAAGGCGACGAUCCGUAGCUGGUCUGAGAGGAUGAUCAGCCACACUGGAACUGAGACACGGUCCAGACUCCUACGGGAGGCAGCAGUGGGGAAUAUUGGACAAUGGGCGCAAGCCUGAUCCAGCCAUACCGCGUGGGUGAAGAAGGCCUUCGGGUUGUAAAGCCCUUUUGUUGGGAAAGAAAAGCAGCAGGUUAAUACCCCGCUGUUCUGACGGUACCCAAAGAAUAAGCACCGGCUAACUUCGUG